UGGAUAAAUGAUGACAAGGUGCAUUCGGGUCUUGGAUGAUGAACACCACAGGUCUUUAACUCUGGGGUCCAA